rnacentral:rRNA from 1 species
GACGAACGCUGGCGGCGUGCUUAACACAUGCAAGUCGAACGGUAAGGCCCUUCGGGGUACACGAGUGGCGAACGGGUGAGUAACACGUGGGUGAUCUGCCCUGCACUUCGGGAUAAGCCUGGGAAACUGGGUCUAAUACCGGAUAGGACUCCUGGCUUCAUGGUUGGGGGUGGAAAGCUUUUGCGGUGGGGGUGGGCCCGCGGCCUAUCAGCUUGUUGGUGGGGUAAUGGCCUACCAAGGCGACGACGGGUAGCCGGCCUGAGAGGGUGACCGGGCACACUGGGACUGGGAUACGGCCCAGAAUCCUACGGGGGGCAGGAGUGGGGAAUAUUGCACAAUGGGCGCAAGCCUGAUGCAGCGACGCCGCGUGAGGGAUGACGGCCUUCGGGUUGUAAACCUCUUUCAGCUAUGACAAAGCGCAAGUGACGGUAGUAGCAGAAGAAGGACCGGCCAACUACGUGCCAGCAGCCGCCGUAA